AUUGAACGCUGGCGGAAUGCUUUUACACAUGCAAGUCGAACGGCAGCACGGACUUCGGUCUGGUGGCGAGUGGCGAACGGGUGAGUAAUACAUCGGAACGUGCCCAGUCGUGGGGGAUAACGUAGCGAAAGCUACGCUAAUACCGCAUACGAUCUACGGAUGAAAGCGGGGGAUCGCAAGACCUCGCGCGAUUGGAGCGGCCGAUGGCAGAUUAGGUAGUUGGUGGGGUAAAGGCUCACCAAGCCGACGAUCUGUAGCUGGUCUGAGAGGACGACCAGCCACACUGGGACUGAGACACGGCCCAGACUCCUACGGGAGGCAGCAGUGGGGAAUUUUGGACAAUGGGCGCAAGCCUGAUCCAGCCAUUCCGCGUGCAGGAUGAAGGCCCUCGGGUUGUAAACUGCUUUUGUACAGAACGAAAAGGCUCUGGUUAAUACCUGGGGCUCAUGACGGUACUGUAAGAAUAAGCACCGGCUAACUACGUG
rnacentral:rRNA from 1 species